rnacentral:rRNA from 1 species
GACGAACGCUGGCGGCGUGCUUAACACAUGCAAGUCGAACGGAAAGGCCCCAGCUUGCUGGGGUACUCGAGUGGCGAACGGGUGAGUAACACGUGGGGGAAAUCCCCUUCACUGUGGGGUAAGCCUUGGGAACUGGGUCUAUUACCGGAUAUGACCGUUCGUUAGUGAGUGCUGUGGAGAGAAGUUCGGUGCUGGUUGGGCUCACAGCCUAUCCGCUGGUUGGUGGGGUAGUGGCCUACCAAGGCGGCGACGGGUGGCCGGCCUGAGAGGGUGUACGGCCACAUUGGGACUGAGAGACGGCGCAGACUCGUACGGGAGGCAGCAGUGGGGAAUAUGGCACAAUGGGCGCAAGCCUGAUGCAGCGACGCCGCGUGGGGGAUGACGGCCUUCGGGUUGUAAACCCCUGUCGGCAGGGACGAAGCUUUUGUGACGGUACCUGCAGAAGAAGCACCGGCUAACUACGUG